UACGUAGGGGGCAAGCGUUAUCCGGAUUUACUGGGUGUAAAGGGAGUGUAGACGGCUGUGCAAGUCUGAAGUGAAAGGCAUGGGCUCAACCUAUGGACUGCUUUGGAAACUGUGCAGCUAGAGUGUCGGAGAGGUAAGUGGAAUUCCUAGUGUAGCGGUGAAAUGCGUAGAUAUUAGGAGGAACACCAGUGGCGAAGGCGGCUUACUGGACGAUGACUGACGUUGAGGCUCGAAAGCGUGGGGAGCAAACAGG
rnacentral:rRNA from 1 species